UGCAACACAGUGGAUUAAUCAAACUAUUUGCCCAUGCAACCUGUUAAACCUUUAACUGGCAAUGCGCCAAGAUGCGUCCUACUUUAUUUUUUUACUCUGUCUAAUACCAAAUGAUUUUACUCGUCACUGGGAGAGUGCUCCAACUCAGUGGGAUAAACCGACAUUCAUAGUAUCUUUACUGAUGCCAGAAAAACCCCGAAUGCGCAGUGACUUGCCGUCAUCAACUUCGACAAGAAGUUGUGGCACUUCAACUCGUUAUAAAAUAUCAACAUUUCACAUCAAAAUUGAGAUAUAGAACACGAUUCAACAUACCUUAAUCCCUGUCUUUAACUUUGGAUGCUGUGCUUCUUAUAUUCCACAUUAACUUCUGAUAUUGCACAUUUGCCCCUUGGCAUCCCUCAUAGUAUUGCACAUUUUGACCAAGAUAUCCGCCAAAAUAAUGCACAUUUGCCCAGGAUAUCCACCAUUAUUCUUCAACGAUGUGGUAAGGUGGGGGUAAUUUCACAUUUGGUGUUGAAAAAAGGUUUGGGGUCCGAUCCUGAGGGGUCCAUUGCGUGGAU